rnacentral:rRNA from 1 species
GCAAUCUGCCUUUCACAGAGGGAUAGCCCAGAGAAAUUUGGAUUAAUACCUCAUAGUAUUAUAGAGUGGCAUCACUUUAUAAUUAAAGUCACAACGGUGAAAGAUGAGCAUGCGUCCCAUUAGCUAGUUGGUAAGGUAACGGCUUACCAAGGCAACGAUGGGUAGGGGUCCUGAGAGGGAGAUCCCCCACACUGGUACUGAGACACGGACCAGACUCCUACGGGAGGCAGCAGUGAGGAAUAUUGGACAAUGGGCGCAAGCCUGAUCCAGCCAUGCCGCGUGCAGGAUGACGGUCCUAUGGAUUGUAAACUGCUUUUGUACGAGAAGAAACACUCCUAUGUAUAGGAGCUUGACGGUAUCGUAAGAAUAAGGAUCGGCUAACUCCGUGCCAGCAGCCGCGGUAAUACGGAGGAUCCAAGCGUUAUCCGGAAUCAUUGGGUUUAAAGGGUCCGUAGGCGGUUUAGUAAGUCAGUGGUGAAAGCCCAUCGCUCAACGGUGGAACGGCCAUUGAUACUGCUGAACUUGAAUUAUUAGGAAGUAACUAGAAUAUGUAGUGUAGCGGUGAAAUGCUUAGAGAUUACAUGGAAUACCAAUUGCGAAGGCAGGUUACUACUAAUGGAUUGACGCUGAUGGACGAAAGCGUGGGUAGCGAACAGGAUUAGAUACCCUGGUAGUCCACGCCGUAAACGAUGGAUACUAGCUGUUGGGAGCGAUCUCAGUGGCUAAGCGAAAGUGAUAAGUAUCCCACCUGGGGAGUACGUUCGCAAGAAUGAAACUCAAAGGAAUUGACGGGGGCCCGCACAAGCGGUGGAGCAUGUGGUUUAAUUCGAUG